rnacentral:rRNA from 1 species
GGUUAAGUGACUAAGCGUACACGGUGGAUGCCUGGGCAGUCAGAGGCGAUGAAGGACGUACUAACUUGCGAUAAGCGCAGAUGAGGCAGUAAGAGCCGUUUGAGUCUGCGAUUUCCGAAUGGGGAAACCCAACUGCAUAAGCAGUUACUGUUAACUGAAUACAUAGGUUAACAGAGCAAACCGGGGGAACUGAAACAUCUAAGUACCCCGAGGAGAAGAAAUCAACCGAGAUUCCGGUAGUAGCGGCGAGCGAACCUGGAUUAGCCCUUAAGCACUCGGUGAAGUAGGUGAACAAGCUGGAAAGCUUGGCGAUACAGGGUGAUAGCCCCGUAACCGACGCUUCAUCGAGCGUGAAAUCGAGUAGGGCGGGACACGUGAUAUCCUGUCUGAAUAUGGGGGGACCAUCCUCCAAGGCUAAAUACUCCUGACUGACCGAUAGUGAACCAGUACCGUGAGGGAAAGGCGAAAAGAACCCCUGUGAGGGGAGUGAAAUAGAACCUGAAACCGUGUACGUACAAGCAGUAGGAGCACCUUCGUGGUGUGACUGCGUACCUUUUGUAUAAUGGGUCAGCGACUUAUAUUCAGUGGCAAGGUUAACCGUAUAGGGGAGCCGUAGCGAAAGCGAGUCUUAACUGGGCGCUCAGUCUCUGGAUAUAGACCCGAAACCGGGUGAUCUAGCCAUGGGCAGGUUGAAGGUUGAGUAACAUCAACUGGAGGACCGAACCGACUAAUGUUGAAAAAUUAGCGGAUGACUUGUGGCUAGGGGUGAAAGGCCAAUCAAACUCGGAGAUAGCUGGUUCUCCCCGAAAGCUAUUUAGGUAGCGCCUCGGACGAAUACUACUGGGGGUAGAGCACUGUUAAGGCUAGGGGGUCAUCCCGACUUACCAACCCUUUGCAAACUCCGAAUACCAGUAAGUACUAUCCGGGAGACACACGGCGGGUGCUAACGUCCGUCGUGGAGAGGGAAACAACCCAGACCGCCAGCUAAGGUCCCAAAGUAUUGCUAAGUGGGAAACGAUGUGGGAAGGCUCAGACAGCUAGGAUGUUGGCUUAGAAGCAGCCAUCAUUUAAAGAAAGCGUAAUAGCUCACUAGUCGAGUCGGCCUGCGCGGAAGAUGUAACGGGGCUAAGCAAUACACCGAAGCUGCGGCAAUAUCUUUUAGAUAUUGGGUAGGGGAGCGUUCUGUAAGCCGUUGAAGGUGAAUCGUAAGGUUUGCUGGAGGUAUCAGAAGUGCGAAUGCUGACAUGAGUAACGACAAAGGGGGUGAAAAACCUCCUCGCCGGAAGACCAAGGGUUCCUGUCCAACGUUAAUCGGGGCAGGGUGAGUCGACCCCUAAGGUGAGGCCGAAAGGCGUAAUCGAUGGGAAACGGGUUAAUAUUCCCGUACUUCUGACUAUUGCGAUGGGGGGACGGAGAAGGCUAGGUGGGCCAGGCGACGGUUGUCCUGGUUCAAGUGCGUAGGCUUGAGAGUUAGGUAAAUCCGGCUCUCUCUAAGGCUGAGACACGACGUCGAGCUGCUACGGCAGUGAAGUCAUUGAUGCCAUGCUUCCAGGAAAAGCCUCUAAGCUUCAGAUAGUCAGGAAUCGUACCCCAAACCGACACAGGUGGUCGGGUAGAGAAUACCAAGGCGCUUGAGAGAACUCGGGUGAAGGAACUAGGCAAAAUGGUACCGUAACUUCGGGAGAAGGUACGCUCUUGAUGGUGAAGUCCCUCGCGGAUGGAGCUGACGAGAGUCGCAGAUACCAGGUGGCUGCAACUGUUUAUUAAAAACACAGCACUGUGCAAAAUCGCAAGAUGACGUAUACGGUGUGACGCCUGCCCGGUGCCGGAAGGUUAAUUGAUGGGGUUAGCGCAAGCGAAGCUCUUGAUCGAAGCCCCGGUAAACGGCGGCCGUAACUAUAACGGUCCUAAGGUAGCGAAAUUCCUUGUCGGGUAAGUUCCGACCUGCACGAAUGGCGUAAUGAUGGCCACGCUGUCUCCACCCGAGACUCAGUGAAAUUGAAAUCGCUGUGAAGAUGCAGUGUACCCGCGGCUAGACGGAAAGACCCCGUGAACCUUUACUACAGCUUGGCACUGAACAUUGAACCUACAUGUGUAGGAUAGGUGGGAGGCUAUGAAGACGUGACGCCAGUUGCGUUGGAGCCGUCCUUGAAAUACCACCCUUGUAUGUUUGAUGUUCUAACUUAGACCCAUUAUCUGGGUUGAGGACAGUGCCUGGUGGGUAGUUUGACUGGGGCGGUCUCCUCCCAAAGAGUAACGGAGGAGCACGAAGGUGGGCUAAUCACGGUUGGACAUCGUGAGGUUAGUGCAAUGGCAUAAGCCCGCUUAACUGCGAGAAUGACGGUUCGAGCAGGUGCGAAAGCAGGUCAUAGUGAUCCGGUGGUUCUGUAUGGAAGGGCCAUCGCUCAACGGAUAAAAGGUACUCCGGGGAUAACAGGCUGAUACCGCCCAAGAGUUCAUAUCGACGGCGGUGUUUGGCACCUCGAUGUCGGCUCAUCACAUCCUGGGGCUGAAGUCGGUCCCAAGGGUAUGGCUGUUCGCCAUUUAAAGUGGUACGCGAGCUGGGUUUAGAACGUCGUGAGACAGUUCGGUCCCUAUCUGCCGUGGGCGUUGGAAGAUUGAAGGGGGCUGCUCCUAGUACGAGAGGACCGGAGUGGACGAACCUCUGGUGUUCGGGUUGUGUCGCCAGACGCAUUGCCCGGUAGCUAAGUUCGGAAUUGAUAAGCGCUGAAAGCAUCUAAGCGCGAAGCGAGC